rnacentral:rRNA from 1 species
UACGAAGGGUGCAAGCGUUACUCGGAAUUACUGGGCGUAAAGGGUGCGUAGGUGGUUCGUUAAGUCUGAUGUGAAAGCCCUGGGCUCAACCUGGGAAUUGCAUUGGAUACUGGCGGGCUAGAGUGCGGUAGAGGGUAGUGGAAUUCCCGGUGUAGCAGUGAAAUGCGUAGAUAUCGGGAGGAACAUCCGUGGCGAAGGCGACUGCCUGGACCAGCACUGACACUGAGGCUCGAAAGCGUGGGGAGCAAACAGGAUUAGAUACCCCUGUA